rnacentral:rRNA from 1 species
CGGACGGGUGAGUAACACGUGGAUAACCUACCUAUAAGACUGGGAUAACUUCGGGAAACCGGAGCUAAUACCGGAUAACAUGUUGAACCGCAUGGUUCAACAGUGGAAGACGGUCUUGCUGUCACUUAUAGAUGGAUCCGCGUCGCAUUAGCUAGUUGGUAAGGUAACGGCUUACCAAGGCAACGAUGCGUAGCCGACCUGAGAGGGUGAUCGGCCACACUGGAACUGAGACACGGUCCAG